GUCAAAUGAAGUAAGGCGGACGGCGGAGACCUAGGCACUCAGAGACGAUGAAGGGCGCAUAAACCGGCGAUACGCUUCGGGGAGCUGGAAACGAGCUUUGAUCCGAAGAUUCCCGAAUGGGGCAACCCCUAUGAACUCCUUUGUAAAUUCAUAAAAAAGGAAGAGGUAACCCGGUGAAUUGAAACAUCUUAGUAGCCGGAGGAAAAGAAAGCAAACGCGAUUUCCUUAGUAGCGGCGAGCGAAACGGAAACAGCCUAAACUGAUGCUUUUUAAGUGUCAGGGUAGUGGGAAGACAACAAAAAAAGAGCUCACUUGUAACUAAGUGAAAAGAAAAAAACGAAGCAGCUGAAUCCUGCACCAUAGAUGGUGAAAGUCCAGUAGUUAAAUUCUAAAAAACACUGUCUUAUCCCGAGUAGCAUGGGGCACGUGAAAUCCCGUGUGAAUCUGCGAGGACCACCUCGUAAGGCUAAAUAUUACUGAGUGACCGAUAGCGAAAUAGUACCGCGAGGGAAAGGAGAAAAGAUCCCCUGUAGGGGAGUGAAAUAGAACGCGAAACCGUCCGCUGACAAGCAGUGGGAGGAGUUUUGGCUCUGACCGCGUGCCUGUUGAAGAAUGAGCCUGCGACUUAUAGGAAGUGGCUUGGUUAAGGAAUUCCAUCCGGAGCCGGAGCGAAAGCAAGUCUGAAUAGGGCAUAAAUGGUCACUUCUUAUGGACCCGAACCCGGGUGAUCUAACCGUGGUCAGAUUGAAGCUUUGGUGAAACGAAGUGGAGGAUCGAACUGACCGAUGUUGAAAAAUCGGCAGAUGAGCUGCGGUUAGCGGAGAAAUUCCAAUCGAACUCGGAGCUAGCUGGAUCUCCCCGAAAUUUGUUGAGGCGAAGCGGUGACGAAGGGCUGCCUUGGGGUAAAGCAACUGUUUCGGUGCGGGCUGCGAAAGCGGUACCAAGUCGUGACAAACUCAGAAUACAAGGUAAGGCUUGCCGUCAACCAGUGAGGCCGUGGGAGAUAAGUUUCACGGCCAAGAGGGAAACAGCCCAGAUCAUCAGCUAAGGCCCCUAAAUGGACGCUAAGUGGGAAAGGAUGUGGGAAUGCGAAAACAACCAGGAAGUUCGCUUAGAAGCAGCUAACUUUAAAAGAGUGCGUAACAGCUCACUGGUAACAGCGUUCUUGCGCCGAGAAUGGCCGGGACUAAGCGUCCUGCCGAAGCUAUGGGAUCGAGCAAUUGCUCGUAUCGGUAGGGGAGCGUUUUGCUACGGGUGAAGCUUUUACGUUAGUAAGGGUGGACGUGGCAAAAGUGAGAAUGUAGGCUUGAGUAACGAAAACAUUGGUGAGAAUCCAAUGCCCUGAAAACCUAAGGAUUCCUUCACUAGGCUCGUCCAUGAAGGGUUAGUCAGGUCCUAAGAUCAGGCCGAAAGGCGUUGUCGAUGGAAAUCAGGUUAAUAUUCCUGAACUAAUUUAAACAGUAUAAGUCCCGAGGGACGAAGGAGGCUAAAUUGAGUCUGUUUAUGGAUUGCAGAGGAAGCUUUUAAGCGUUGAGAGAUUGAAGAAAAACAAUUCUUGAGCUGAAGAGUGAUCCCGUUUGAACAAAUCUUCGGAUUUGUUUGGACGUCAAUGACGCCACACUUCCAAGAAAAGCUCGUUCGACUUUUGUUUAAAUUACCUGUACCUUAAACCGACACAGGUAGGUGGGUAGAGAAUACCUAAGGGCGCGAGAGAACUCUCUUUAAGGAACUCGGCAAACUGGCCCCGUAACUUCGGAAGAAGGGGUGCCCUCUUUCUAGAGGGCCACAGUAUCCAGGCCCAAGCGACUGUUUACCAAAAACACAGGUCUCUGCAAAGUCGUAAGACGAUAUAUAGGGGCUGACGCCUGCCCAGUGCCGGAAGGUCAAGGAAGUUGGUUAUUCCUUUUGGAAGAAGCUGGCGACCGAAGCCCCGGUGAACGGCGGCCGUAACUAUGACGGUCCUAAGGUAGCGAAAUUCUUUGUCGAGUAAGUUUCGACCUGCACGAAAGGCGUAACGAUUUGGGCGCUGUCUCAAAGAGAGGCUCGGUGAAAUAGACUUGUCCGUGAAGAUGCGGACUACUUAUACUUGGACAGAAAGACCCUAUGAAGCUUGACUGUAGUUUGGAACAGGGUUCGGGCUUUUCUUGCGCAGCCUAGGUGGGAGGCAUUGAAGAUUUCUUUUCGGGGAAAUUGGAGCCAUCAUUGAGAGACCACUCUGGAAGAGCUAGAAUCCUAAUGGCGUUCCUUGAAUCAGGACGCUUGACAGUUUCAGAUGGGCAGUUUUCCUGGGGCGGGAUCCUCCUAAAAGGUAACGGAGGAGCGCAAUGGUUCCCUCAACCUGGACGGAAAUCAGGCUUUGAGUGCAAAGGCAUAAGGGAGCUUGACUGCAAGACCUACAAGUCGAGCAGGAGCGAAAGCUGGCCUUAGUGAUCCGACGGUUCCGUGUGGAAGGGCCGUCGCUCAACGGAUAAAAGUUACUCUAGGGAUAACAGGCUGAUCUUCCCCAAGAGUUCACAUCGACGGGAAGGUUUGGCACCUCGAUGUCGGCUCUUCUUAUCCUGGGGCGGUAGUACGUCCCAAGGGUUGGGCUGUUCGCCCAUUAAAAAGGAACGUGAGCUGGGUUCAGAACGUCGUGAGACAGUUCGGUCCAUAUCCAGUAUAAGCGCUGGAGUAUUGAGAGGAUCCCCCUAUAGUACGAGAGGACCUAUGGGGGACGCACCAAUGGUAUACCAGUUCUUGUUCCAACAGGAAACGCUGGGUAGCUACGUGCGGAGUGGAUAACUGCUGACAGCAUCUAAGUAGGAAGCCCACCUCAAGAUGAGUACUCCCUGAGGUCACGACUAGACUAGUCGUUUGAUAGGUAUCAGGUGUAAGGUCAGUGAUGAUUUUAGCUGAGAUAUACUAACGACCAAUAGAUAUUGAC
rnacentral:rRNA from 1 species